AUCACAUCCAUACGAGGCCCAGAUGGUACCAUGAAAUCCAGGCCGACAGAGAUAGCACAAGUCUUUACAUCCUACUAUGAUGCCCUAUACAAUCACGCUCCCCAAGGCAGCACCCCGACCACAGCCACUUGCCAAAGGACAUCAGAAUUCCUGACGCGCCUUGAAUUACCCAAACUCCACACCACAGCCAUAGCGGAGCUAUCAGCCCCAAUCACCAAAGACGAAAUUAACUUGGCCAUCUCCUCACUAAAG